GAUGAACGCUAGCGACAGGCUUAACACAUGCAAGUCGAGGGGCAGCAUGAUUUGUAGCAAUACAGAUUGAUGGCGACCGGCGCACGGGUGAGUAACGCGUAUGCAACUUACCUAUCAGAGGGGGAUAGCCCGGCGAAAGUCGGAUUAAUACCCCAUAAAACAGGGGUCCCGCAUGGGAAUAUUUGUUAAAGAUUCAUCGCUGAUAGAUAGGCAUGCGUUCCAUUAGGCAGUUGGCGGGGUAACGGCCCACCAAACCGACGAUGGAUAGGGGUUCUGAGAGGAAGGUCCCCCACAUUGGUACUGAGACACGGACCAAACUCCUACGGGAGGCAGCAGUGAGGAAUAUUGGUCAAUGGCCGAGAGGCUGAACCAGCCAAGUCGCGUGAAGGAAGAAGGAUCUAUGGUUUGUAAACUUCUUUUAUAGGGGAAUAAAGUGGAGGACGUGUCCUUUUUUGUAUGUACCCUAUGAAUAAGCAUCGGCUAACUCCGUGCCAGCAGCCGCGGUAAUACGGAGGAUGCGAGCGUUAUCCGGAUUUAUUGGGUUUAAAGGGUGCGUAGGUGGUGAUUUAAGUCAGCGGUGAAAGUUUGUGGCUCAACCAUAAAAUUGCCGUUGAAACUGGGUUACUUGAGUGUGUUUGAGGUAGGCGGAAUGCGUGGUGUAGCGGUGAAAUGCAUAGAUAUCACGCAGAACUCCGAUUGCGAAGGCAGCUUACUAAACCA
rnacentral:rRNA from 1 species